rnacentral:lncRNA from 1 species
UAUAAAAACCCAAGACCCUGGCGGGAAGACACAGAAGUGGUUGGGCGUCGUGAGGAACGCAUCGGCGGCAGAACACUCAAGCGGCUGGUUGUUGAGAGCACGCCAGCUGAAGAGCACCCCUGCACACUGGCAGGCCAUCCACAGGUGUCAGAAACUCAGCUCAGCUGGAAGAAACUUGAUGUACCAGGUAUCAGAGUAGCAAGUAAAGCCACAAGCCAAAAAUGAAAGAGAAUCUUUUAAGUGCUUAUCGUGAUGGUGUAAGUAAUUGUCCAAAAGAAACGCCGAUUCCUUCUGUUCCAUUUUUACCUGUGGAUUGUGGAUUGAAAUAACCAUUGGACCAUGAGGAGAGACUCUGAAGAGAGGCUAGUGAUAUGUGAUAUAAUACUCUUUUGUGACGUUGGACCAUGGCAGUGAGCCGCAUGUUGCCAGUCGAUUUUGUUCAACAGUAGGUACAUGGUAGAAGUAUGAUUUCUGACAAAAGUUCCAAGAUAAAUCAAAGAUAAAAGAAGAAUAAGAAGAGUAUGUAUAAAAUGAGAUUAAUGUAACAGAACAUAGAUCCCAGAAACAAG